UACAGUUUAAGUUUUCACAACUUUGGGCGCUUUGGAUUGGUGGUGCCAAAAGUUCUGAUCGCUUUCGAUUUGGGCAGAGCAGAUCGGUUGGCUUGCAGGAUUGAUGUUUAGCAGCGGUACAUGCAAAUUUUUUCCCAGCAUCGAAGAAGAAGAAUACAGAGGAUCAGGGAGGUGGAGAUUUGUUCUUGGGUGCUAGAUCAUUCAGCAACAGUGGCGUCAGGAUCGAGAGGUGAUUUGAUUCUCUCGAUCUGUGGCUUAGGCUUGGCAUUGGUGCCGUGCUGCUUUUGAUUGAGGGAAUGGAUGCAAGGGUGGUUGCCUAGGUCAGAUGCACCCCGACUGGGCAGCGACGGUCGGGUGGCAAUCUGGCCAGCGCCUUUGCCUGGGUUUAGGCUUGGGCCUGGACCAUAUGGGCUUAAUAUCUUUUGGACCUAUUUAAGUAAUCCGGUUGAGCAAGCUUCCGAUGACAUUCCCGAGACGGGACUCACCUAGUCACCCUUCAUUGUAGUAGAUUUUGCUGAGGUCGGACCGCACCACGUUGAGGCAUUCUCCUUAUCCACCGUCAUCCAUCUCGACUUGUAGGAUUUGUUUCCUUUUGUACUUUUAUAUUUCUUAGUUAAUUAGACCAUGUAACUUAUGCUCUGAUGUAACCAUAAAUUGACUACUGGAUUCCUAAGAUGUAAUUGUUGGGUUAGAACCCCUGGCUUUGGUUGGUGGUGGAUGUUUUUGUGGAGGACAUGAGGUCCUAUUUGGAAGUUUU